rnacentral:rRNA from 1 species
AGUUUGAUCCUGCUCAGGAUGAACGCUGGCGGUAUGCUUAACACAUGCAAGUCGAACGAUGUGGGGACGCAGCAAUCCUAGUCUGUGCAUAGUGGCGGACGGGUGAGUAACGCGUGAGAAUCUAGCUUCAGGUUCGGGACAACAUUGGGAAACCGAUGCUAAUACCGGAUGUGCCGAGAGGUGAAAGGCUAGCCGCCUGAAGAAGAGCUCGCGUCUGAUUAGCUAGUUGGUGGUGUAAGGGACUACCAAGGCGACGAUCAGUAGCUGGUCUGAGAGGAUGAUCAGCCACACUGGAACUGAGACACGGUCCAGACUCCUACGGGAGGCAGCAGUGGGGAAUUUUCCGCAAUGGGGCGAAAGCUUGACGGAGCAAUACCGCGUGAGGGAGGAAGGCUCUUGGGUUGUAAACCUUUUUCUCAAGGAAGAAGUUCUGACGGUACUUGAGGAAUCAGCAUCCGCUAACUU